GGGAAUGACUAUGGCUUGGUGGCAGAGCACCUGCUUUACAUGCAGAAGGUCCCAGGUUCAAUCCCCAGCAUCUCCA